UGAGAGAGAGCGAAAACUGUGAAACAAAAAAUGGAGAAUUCUGUUUCCUUGAAAACAAAUAUUGGAUUUUGAGACAUGGUAAAAGCAUCCCAAUGAGAAAGGCGUCAUCGUGACUUCUUUCGUUUGUUUUCUUCUCCGGGUUCUCCCCAAUUUUUGGUUUAUUUUAUGAACAUGUUCAUUAUUUGUUUUUCUAAUCUCUUCAUGUAAACCCUUAAUUUUUGAUGAAUUAGUUUGAUUUCAUGCUAAAAGAACUAGUAAUUUUCAUCAAUCAGGAAAAUGGGGUUCUUUUGGAAUAUCAAUUAGCUGACGAAGGUGUUAACCAAGCAAGAUUAGCAGGUAUUAAAGGAUAACAAUAUACCAAUUGAAAAUGUUAGAAUUUGCUACUCUCCAUCUUCAAGAACAAGACUGCUCAAGUUGCUGCUUUUGUUCUCAUUGUUUCGCUCAAAGGUCCUUAGUGUAACGUAUAGAACUUACAUGGGAACUAAGUAGACAAGCCAUCUCUAGUUCGCCAAAGAUGCAUAUAUGUGAUGCCAACAUGUUCAAUAUAGAGGGAUAUCUAUGUGGUUGUUUAGAAGCGAAAAUGGUCCAUCCGUGUUUUCAUCUUCUAACCCAGCUGAGGAAGUAACUAAUGGAAUUGAUGCAUUUGCUCUUACUGCCAUUAUCACUGUGAUGCCUCUUCUCCUCCUCCAGUGUGUCACUGUAAGCGUAUGCCGCAGUUUUGUUCAUGUGUUUGUCGACGAAAUUGCGUCUGCCAUGGGGAUAGUAUCAAAUUUCUCCAAUGACGUACAAAUGAGUCUGCCUAGAUAAAUUUCUGAGGUUUGAUUACCCGUGACGUGAGCAUGAUUUACAAAUAUCGGAUUUCCUUGAAGUGUAUGCCAGUAUGCACUGUUACUCUAUGAAUACCUUAUUACUAUUUGGGAAGUAUUUAGUUUUGAUUCUGUCUAAAAGUAUCAACUAUCUAGUACCCAUUUAAUUUAUAUGACCGUUUGGAUCCGCUUCCCAUUUU